rnacentral:rRNA from 1 species
UACGUAGGGGGCAAGCGUUGUCCGGAUUUACUGGGCGUAAAGCGCGUGUAGGCGGCCACGCAGGUCCGUUGUGAAAACUGGAGGCUCAACUUCCAGACGUCGACGGAAACCGUGUGGCUAGAGUCCGGAAGAGGAGAGUGGAAUUUCUGGUGUAGCGGUGAAAUGCGCAGAUAUCAGGAAGAACACCAAUGGCGAAGGCAGCUCUCUGGGACGGUACUGACGCUGAGACGCGAAAAGCGUGGGGGAGCGAACAGG